AUGGGCGGACGGGUGAGUAAUGCAUAGGAAUCUGCCCGAUAGUGGGGGAUAACCUGGGGAAACCCCAGGCUAAUACCGCAUACGUCCUACGGGAGAAAGGGGGCUCCGGCUCCCGCUAUCGGAUGAGCCUAUGUCGGAUUAGCUGGUUGGUGAGGUAAUGGCUCACCAAGGCGACGAUCCGUAGCUGGUCUGAGAGGAUGAUCAGCCACAUCGGGACUGAGACACGGCCCGAACUCCUACGGGAGGCAGCAGUGGGGAAUAUUGGACAAUGGGGGGAACCCUGAUCCAGCCAUGCCGCGUGUGCGAAGAAGGCCCUCGGGUUGUAAAGCACUUUCAGUGAGGAAGAACGCCUGGUGGUUAAUACCCAUCAGGAAAGACAUCACUCACAGAAGAAGCACCGGCUAACUCCGUGCCAGCAGCCGCGGUAAUACGGAGGGUGCGAGCGUUAAUCGGAAUUACUGGGCGUAAAGCGCGCGUAGGUGGCUUGAUAAGCCGGUUGUGAAAGCCCCGGGCUCAACCUGGGAACGGCAUCCGGAACUGUCAAGCUAGAGUGCAGGAGAGGAAGGUAGAAUUCCCGGUGUAGCGGUGAAAUGCGUAGAGAUCGGGAGGAAUACCAGUGGCGAAGGCGGCCUUCUGGACUGACACUGACACUGAGGUGCGAAAGCGUGGGUAGCAAACAGGAUUAGAUACCCUGGUAGUCCACGCCGUAAACGAUGUCGACCAGCCGUUGGGUGCCUAGCGCACU
rnacentral:rRNA from 1 species